rnacentral:rRNA from 1 species
AUUUGACCUCAAAUCAGGUAGGAACACCCGCUGAACUUAAGCAUAUCAAUAAGCGGAGGAAAAGAAAAUAACAAUGAUUCCCCUAGUAACUGCGAGUGAAGAGGGACAAGCUCAAAUUUUAAAUCUAUCGGGUUUUACCCGAUCGAGUUGUAAUUUGAAGAAGCGUUUUCUGCGUUUUUGAUCAGCCCAAGUCCUAUUGAAUGAGGCAUCAUGGAGGGUGAUAAUCCCGUCCGGUUGAUCAUUUGCGUUUUACGAUACGCUCUCUAAGAGUCAAGUUGUUUGGGAUUGCAGCUUAAAAUGGGAGGUAAAUUUCUCCUAAGGCUAAAUAACGGCGAGAGACCGAUAGCGAACAAGUACCGUGAGGGAAAGAUGAAAAGAACUUUGAAAAGAGAGUUAAACAGUACGUGAAAUUGUUGAAAGGGAAACGAUUGAAGCCAGUCGUACCUUCGGGUAAUCAGCCUUUCGGGUGCGAUUCUGUGGAGUGUGAGGAGCUUAACACCUUCAUGCUUUGCAUAUUUGUGCUCUUGGGUGUACUUGCCCGUGUGGUUGGUUAACAUCAAUUUUGAUUAUCAUAAAAUGACUGGAGGAAUGUAGCUUCGAUCUCGUAUUGAAGUGUUAUAGCCUUUGGUAGAUGUGAUGAUCGAGAUUGAGGAUUGCAACGGAUACCCUUCGGGGCUACCUGUCUGGUCUCUGAUCGUUGCUCUGGUGCCGAAAGCGUGCUUACGGUUAUCAAAGUCGAUGGUCAAUAGGUUAGAACGGGUUAAAUUCGUUAAGGAUGUUGACGUAAUGGCUUUAAACGACCCGUCUUGAAACACGGACCA